rnacentral:rRNA from 1 species
CGUAGUUCGGAUUACUGGGCUUAAAGAGUUCGUAGGUGGUUGAAAAAGUUGGUGGUGAAAUCCCAGAGCUUAACUCUGGAACUGCCAUCAAAACUUUUCAGCUAGAGUAUGAUAGAGGAAAGCAGAAUUUCUAGUGUAGAGGUGAAAUUCGUAGAUAUUAGAAAGAAUACCAAUUGCGAAGGCAGCUUUCUGGAUCAUUACUGACACUGAGGAACGAAAGCAUGGGUAGCGAAGAGGAUUAGAUACCCUCGUAGUCCAUGCCGUAAACGAUGUGUGUUAGACGUUGGAAAUUUAUUUUCAGUGUCGCAGCGAAAGCGAUAAACACACCGCCUGGGGAGUACGACCGCAAGGUUAAAACUCAAAUGAAUUGACGGGGACCCGCACAAGUAGUGGAGCAUGUGGUUUAAUUCGAAGAUACGCGCAGAACCUUACCAACACUUGACAUGUUCGUCGCGACUUUAAGAGAUUAAAGUUUUCGGUUCGGCCGGACGAAACACAGGUGCUGCAUGGCUGUCGUCAGCUCGUGUCGUGAGAUGUUGGGUUAAGUCCCGCAACGAGCGCAACCCUCACUUUUAGUUGCCAUCAUUAAGUUGGGCACUCUGAAAGAACUGCCAGUGAUAAGCUGGAGGAAGGUGGGGAUGACGUCAAGUCCUCAUGGCCCUUACGUGUUGGGCUACACACGUGCUACAAUGGUAUCUACAACAGGAAGCAAAACUGCGAAGUUAAGCAAAUCCUUAAAAGAUACCUCAGUUCGGAUUGCACUCUGCAACUCGAGUGCAUGAAGCUGGAAUUACUAGUAAUCGUGGAUCAGCGUGCCACGGUGAAUGCGUUCCCGGGUCUUGUACACACCGCCCGUCACACCAUGGGAGUUGGUUCUACCUUAAGGCAAGGUUU